GACGGUAGCGAAGAACCAUUUGUCGGUUGAGGUUCAAAUUUUAGAGUCCGCAUGUUAUUGAAAGGCGCAGUAAGGGGUGGGCGUAUUGAAGAGGUAGGAUCAGAUUUCCUGACUGGUCUAUUUUAAGUGACGUCUUAACAGACAUCACAGUGUUGCACUUCUAAACAACUGUCCUUUAAUAAGCAUUCGAAAUGCAGGUAUAAUUUUACUAAAAGUUGAAGCGCAUACAAUAUUAACAAUGGAAAGAUGAAUAUAACUGGUUCGAGAGGCCGUUUUUUUUUGUUUUUUUUUUAAUUAAAGAGUAUUAUACAGGCUGGGAUUUCACUUAGCCUUAUUAACGUGGUUUUCUUUUAAGGUACACUCAUUCUGGUUGUGUCGAUAGUGGUUCCUUCCAUCGCUGUGAUUGCCGUAGUGGUCAUCGUCAUUUACUGCGUUAACAAGAAAAGGAAAUCAAGACCAUCAAUCAGCGACAAGAAUGAUUCCGACGAGAAUCCCUUGGAUGGAAACCAGGCAGAUUACAAAGAAAUGAAAGAAGUCAGCCCAGGUGCCCACUACCCGCUAUUGGAAUCCAAAUGUAAGCCAGAUGACGAGGGGAUAAAACCUGCCAACAAGUGAGAUACCCCCUGUUAGGCUCAUCAGCGAUAAUCUUGAGUAGCUGUUAGUCGCAGGAUUGAGCUAUUGGAAUUUUCCUUCAAGGAAACAGUUUAAUUAAACUAGCUCUUUUAAAAAACAGUUUCUCAUCUGAUAGAAGGAGAACUUAGUAUCAGGCUAUUUAAAUGUGAGAGUAAUGUCAUCUGCACUACAGAGCUGAACACUGGGUGAUGCCUCAGCUGUCACUGAUUUUCAGUUUUGCGCCCCUGCGCAUAAAGCUUAAGCAAACUGACGAGUGGUAGAGUGCCGACAGUCUGUUUAACUCUCAAAAUUCAGAAGGGAAUUGUAAGACGAGACGCUUUAGCCUAAAGAGGUAUGGGACGAGACGUGGGCGUGGCACGAACGCCUCAUUCCCUACUCGGCCAUACCGCCCUUUUGCGCUCUCAUUGGCUAAACACUCGUCUAAGUGACCCUAAGAGAAAAAACUGGCUGUCAGCAGUCUAGAUGAUUGAAAAAUACAGGUAUCGUGUACAGGUGAUUUUGCAAAAGAGCACAAGGAUAAUGCUGACAGAAGGGGUUGAAAGGACAAGAGAGUUUGAAAUCCCUCAUAUAGGCCUUAUUCUCAAGAUAAUCCCUCUUAAGUUAUUUUUAGGUAUAGUAUCCAGUCCUCCGCGGAUAACAUGCGCUCUUUCACAGGAUUUUAGACAAUUUUGUCAUUUCUGAAGCCGGGAGUGAUUUGAUAAGGCCUACAUAAGAAAUAAACUCUUCUACCUUCAU